GAUGAACGCUGGCGGCGUGCUUAACACAUGCAAGUCGAACGGAAAGGCCCUGCUUUUGCGGGUUGCUCGAGGGGCGAACGGGUGUGAAACACGUGAGUAACCCGCCCCUGACGUUGGGAUAACUCCAGGAAACUGGGGCUAAUACCGGAUAGGAGCUCCUGCAGCAUGGGGGGCGUUGGAAAGUUUCGGCGUUUGGGGAUGGACUCGCGGCUUACGAGCUUGUUGGGGGAGUAGUGGCUUACCAAGCGUUCGACGGGUAGCCGGCCUGGGAGGGUGGCCGGGCACAUUGGGACUAAGAUACGGACCAGACUGCUACGGGAGGCAACAGUGGGAAAUAUUGCACAGUGAGCGGGAGCCUGAUACGGCGACGCCGCGUGCGGGAUGACGGCCUUCGAGGUAUGAACCGCUUUCGCCUGUGACGAAGCGUGAGUGACGGUAAUGGGUAAAGAAGCACCGGCUAACUACGUG
rnacentral:rRNA from 1 species